rnacentral:lncRNA from 1 species
CCUGUGACCAUUAACUGACAUCAGAAAACCACAAACAUGUGAGUGUGAUGUUAAAUUAUUUAAAAAAUUUAUUAAAAAUCACUGGAAACUUAAAAAAAUAUAUUUUAUAUCAGAGGGAUUCUUUAGUCAAGAAUAGACUGUUAAGCACUGUCAUGCAUGCACUCUGCACAGCAUGAAAGAUAAUGCAUAAGAGCUUGCGUUAAACAGAACUAAGCGCAAGAAGUGAAAUCAGCCAUACAAAAAUCUCUUAGCGCCCCAGGACACGUACUAAACCUUACAAGUAGCAACAGCAUCUCCACACUCCAGCUCAGUAGGUGGCGGUAUUUUAGCUUUAAACUGGUUUUCAAUCUCCCAUUAAUCGUUAGAAGAAGACGACACAGUCCUUUCAAACAAAAAUGGCUGCGGUCACGCCGGAGGUGUUGACGAGUACACACGUGGAGAAAAUGAAGAAGAAAAAGCUUCCAAAACGUUAUUGGGAGGAAACAGAGAAAACAGACCAAAGUCAAAGGAGACCAGAGGAAGAACAAGGCAAAGCUGGGCAGAACCAGAAUAAAUCAACAGUAAAAGAAAAAGUCAUUAAAAAGGAAGAACGGUGAAAGUUUGGAGAAAAAGGACCCUUUUCCUGGUGAGGCUCCUAUACCACAGAAGCAACUUCAGAAGUUUCAGAGAGGAAAGAAAUGCAAAGUGGUAAGUCCAAAUUCUACAUAAAUAAAAAAGUUUUAUACUUACGACAUUGUCAAAUUGUUUUGCUAUAUGUUUUUAAUAUUUCUGAUUUGAGUUUAUUUGGCAUGUAGCGGUGGGUAAUGUGAACAGAAUCGUAUAUCACUAUAUUUUUCUGUAAACACUUUUGAAGAAAUGUUUAACAAUCAGCCCUGAGCUUUAGAGUUUUUAUUCAAGCAAACUUUAAAAACCUUACAUAGGAAUGGUGUUAAAACCCCAACCAAUGCUUUUUUUUUUAAUUGCUGGAAAUAAAAUAACAUUAUAAUGGUUUCUUUAACCAGAGGUAUAUCUCAAUACCAAAGAAAAAAAAACGUUUAACCUUAAUACGUUGAUAACUAGAACUGAUGACAAAAACAUGAAAGAAACAAAACUUUAAAUGUAAUAUAAUCAUAUUUAAAGUUGCGCACGAACAUCUAGGAAUGUCCUUUUACUGUUUUUCACAGUAAAUGAUAUGAUAAUUCAUAUCUUUUAACAUAAACCAUAAAUUUGACAGUUAUUUUAAAGUACACAUUUUCGCUAUAUAUGGCAAGGUAACAUAGUUUUACAGUUAAAGGGUUAGUUGACCCAAAAAUGGCCCUCAUGUGGUUCCAAACCGUAAGACCUUUGUUCCGAAGAUGAUAUAUUUGUGUUCUGAAGAUGUUGUGUUGUUUUUUUUUUCUUGUGCAAUAUCGGUGGGGGUAAAACCUGACCUGGACAGUAAUU